rnacentral:rRNA from 1 species
GCUAUUGGAGUUCGAUUAAGCCAUGCGAGUCGCGAGAAAUUAGAUUCUCGGCGUACCGCUCAGUAACACGUGGGUAACCUGCCCUAUGCUGGAUAAUAACCUCGGGAAACUGAGUAUAAUGAUCCAUAGUUCACUACGCCUGGAACGGUGAGUGGAUGAAAGCUCCGGCGGCAUAGGAUGGGCCUGCGGCGUAUCAGGUUGUAGGGGGUGUAACGUACCCUCUAGCCCUCUACGCGUACGGGUGUUGGGAGACAUAGCCCGGAGAUGGAUUCUGAGACACGAAUCCAGACCCUACGGGGUGCAGCAGGCGCGAAAACUUGGCAAUGCGAGAAAUCGUGACCAGGGAACUCCAAGUGCAUCGGGUAAGACCGGUGCUUUUCUUGACUCUAAAUAGGUCUUGGAAUAAGGGGUGGGUAAGGACGGUGCCAGCCGCCGCGGUAAUACCGGCGCCUCAAGUGGUAGUCGCUUUUAUUGGGCCUAAAACGUCCGUAGCCGGUCUGAUACAUUCGUGGGUAAAUCAACCAGCUCAACUGGUUGAAUUCUGCGAGGACGGUCAGACUUGGGACCGGGAGAGGUGUGGGGUACGCUCAGGGUAGGGGUAAAAUCCUGUCAUCCUGAGCGGACCACCUGUUGCGAAGGCGCCACACUAGAACGGAUCCGACGGUCAGGGACGAAGCCUAGGGGCACGAACCGGAUUAGAUACCCGGGUAGUCCUAGGUGUAAACGCUGUGGACUUGAUGUUGGGGGUGCUCCGAGCACUCUCAGUGUCGAAGCGAAGGUGAUAAGUCCACUGCCUGGGAAGUACGGUCGCAAGGCUGAAACUUAAAGGAAUUGGCGGGGGAGCACCGC